CCAUAUAUAUAUGAGGUACAAUUUGGGUUUUCUAAGAUAUAAUUAUCAUAUAUUAAUGUCUACUCCAAAAAUCAUAAUGUCGCGGGUAUCAUUAAAUGGUAAACUUAUAAGAUCAACUUCAACUCCAAUCAUGAGAAUCAAUUGAAUAGCUAUAGCUAAUGACUAUUAGUUAAUUUGACCAACGAUCCAACCCAAAUCCAAUCUGGACUUGAAUCGAACCCAUAUUUUAUGGAUUAGGAUC
rnacentral:lncRNA from 1 species